ACGGGAGGCAGCAGUGAGGAAUAUUAGGCAAUGGAGUAAACUCUGACCUAGCGACGCCGCGUGAAGGAAGAAGGUUUUCGGAUUGUAAACUUCUUUUAUGAGGGACGAUAAUGACGGUACCUCAUGAAUAAGCCACGGCUAACUACGUGCCAGCAGCCGCGGUAAUACGUAGGUGGCAAGCUUUGUCCGGAUUUACUUUGUGUAAAGGGCGAGUAGGCGGGCUUGCAAGUCAGAUGUGAAAUACCGGGGCUCAAAUCCGGGGCUGCAUUUGAAACUGUAAGUCUUGAGUGAUGGAGAGGCAGACGGAAUUCAAAGUGUAGCGGUAAAAUGCAUAGAGAUUGGGAAGAACACCAGUGGAGAAGGCGGUCUGCUGGACAGUAACUGACGCGGAGGAGAGAAAGUGUGGGGAGCAAACAGGAUUAGAUACCCUGGUA
rnacentral:rRNA from 1 species